rnacentral:rRNA from 1 species
UCAGGUGGCUAUAGCACAAGGGUUCCACCUCUUCCCAUUCCGAACAGAGAAGUUAAGCCUUGUCACGCCGAUGGUACUGCGUAACAGUGGGAGAGUAGGUAGCCGCCGUUUU